CACAGACAGAAGACACUGGCAACAGCUCAAAUACACCAGCAAACAGUGUGUGUGUGUGUGUGUGCAUAGUGUAAAACAACAGGCUGCCUUACAUAAGGCAAUGCAAACUAGUGUCAUGUGGUGACAACUAGAAACAGCUACAUGGCUCAACAACCUGUUCAUCUAUUUGUCCUUUGAACUCCUCCAGACACCAGGUCCUGGUGUUUUAGUUUGGCCCGGAGGGAAUUCAAGAUCAGGAGCUGAGUAAUGAAAGGGACUUUUAGCAUAAAACACGAUUGAGAUCUGAGCUUGUAUUAUGUGUUCUCAUUUUGAGCUGGAAGAGCAGUGUUUCUUAACUGAAUAAGAAUGGACCAGGGUUUGAGCCUGGGUGUUGCUACUGAUGUCCACCUGACAGCACUGUAGAGAUCACAAUGGUGAGUUAGACGUCUCUGCGUGACACACAGAGUCAAGAGCCUUCAGUGUAGAGCUUGAGUCUUGCACAUAAAUAGUAUCAUCAUUGUCCAACACAAAGAGAAAAGUACAACGAUUCAACUCCUUUCUGGCUGCAAAGGAAAAACAAUCUUUGUGCCGGUAAUAAAACCCAAUACGUUGUUAUUGGAUCCAUUGUACUUUUGGGACUAUGCUAUUGGUCCUAUUGCAUGUAGUAUUUUGAAUGUGCCUGCUGUUUGUCCUCCUGUCCAGGGUGUGGAGCUGGAGAGCACCAGGCUGGUAAUCAGGUACCCAGACCGCUGGGUCCAGAGAACCCCUCCCUCUCCUCAGAGGACCAACUCUAUAGGCCUCAACACCUCCUCAGCCUCCCAGUAUGCCUCCACAGGGACCAGGAGGAUGUCUCCCAUCAAUGGUGACGAGUGUUUCUUCUGGAGGACCACCGGCUGUUUCUAUGGUGACAGGUGUCGCUUCAAACACAAGCCUGACCAGAGAGGAAGAGACAGGAAACCAUGGCAACCCUGACCACCACGCAGGGACUGGAUAGUACAGAGGGAGGAGAAUGAUGAGGAUGAGGGACUGUGUCCCUACUUUAAAAGGGAAAAGGAGGUUGAGGGUGGGGGCGGGGGUGUCACCCCGUUUGUAGUCCUCUGGCACAGACCACAGAUCCCAGACAGAACACUAGACAUAUAUAAUGAGUGUGUGAAGUGUCAAUCAAAGUGAAGGGAGUGCACCUCUGAUUUCCUUCCCCCUCUCCCUCGGCCGGAGCUGUGAAACAUGGAAAUGACAUCAUCAUUAGAACUUGAAGGGAUCUUUGCCCAGUGAACCUCCUCUAUGAUGACCAUGUUGUAGACACUAAGGGGCUGACAUCUGUUGUUAUCAUGUGUUUUACUGUGUAUGUAUUUAUGGUCAUGUGACUGAACAUGUGACCUGAAUGUGUCACUUUGAGACUCAGUGCCAGCAUGAUGCCAUAGGGUGCCAAGUAAUUGUCCCUACAGGGAUAAAUAAACAAUGCUUUUAAUUGAAUAUGGGGCACGUUCCAGGCAGACUAAAUUGCAGUCACCUGCCUUCUCUCACAACACCUGGAUAAGUGUUUGUUUAAGAUGUCAGCUAACCCAUCAUGAUUUAGCAAACUGAUGCAGGACUGCACAGUCAGUGACGUGGCACGCAACCAUGAGUCAGUCUGGAACAUCACCAGUGUCCAUGGGGUGUUCUAACAUCCAGACCACCUUAAAUGAAACAAGUAGUGUGCUACUGUGGAUAUUGGAACAAGACCCAUAACACCUUCCUAAUAUUGAGUUGCUCCUCCCCCUUUCACCCUCA